rnacentral:rRNA from 1 species
AUACGGAGGGUGCAAGCGUUGUUCGGAAUCACAGGGCGUAAAGGGCGCGCAGGCGGUUUGGUAAGUCAGAUGUGAAAGCCCACGGCUCAACCGUGGAAGUGCAUUUGAAACUGCCAGACUUGAGUACCAGAGGGGAAAGUGGAAUUCCCGGUGUAGAGGUGAAAUUCGUAGAUAUCGGGAGGAAUACCGGUGGCGAAGGCGACUUUCUGGCUGGAUACUGACGCUGAGGCGCGAAAGCGUGGGGAGCAAACAGGAUUAGAAACCCUAGUAGUCC